rnacentral:rRNA from 1 species
UGGGGAAUUGUUCGCAAUGGGCGCAAGCCUGACGACGCAACGCCGCGUGGAGGAUGAAGGUCUUCGGAUUGUAAACUCCUGUUGACCGGGAAGAAUGGACUUCGCUCGAACACAGCGGAGUAAUGACGGUACCGGUUGAGGAAGCCACGGCUAACUCUGUGCCAGCAGCCGCGGUAAUACAGAGGUGGCAAGCGUUGUUCGGAAUUACUGGGCGUAAAGGGCGCGUAGGCGGCCUUCUAAGUCAGACGUGAAAUCCCCAGGCUUAACUUGGGAACUGCGUCUGAUACUGGAGGGCUCGAGUGCGGGAGAGGGAUGUGGAAUUCCAGGUGUAGCGGUGAAAUGCGUAGAUAUCUGGAGGAACACCGGUGGCGAAGGCGGCAUCCUGGACCGACACUGACGCUGAGGCGCGAAAGCUAGGGGAGCAAACGGGAUUAGAUACCCCGGUAGUCCUAGCCCUAAACGAUGAGUGCUUGGUGUGGCGGGUAUCGAUCCCUGCCGUGCCGAAGCUAACGCAUUAAGCACUCCGCCUGGGGAGUACGGUCGCAAGGCUGA